rnacentral:rRNA from 1 species
UACGUAGGGUGCAAGCGUUGUCCGGAAUUAUUGGGCGUAAAGAGCUUGUAGGCGGUUUGUCGCGUCUGCUGUGAAAUUUCGGGGCUCAACCCCGAACUUGCAGUGGGUACGGGCAGACUAGAGUGUGGUAGGGGAGACUGGAAUUCCUGGUGUAGCGGUGAAAUGCGCAGAUAUCAGGAGGAACACCGAUGGCGAAGGCAGGUCUCUGGGCCAUAACUGACGCUGAGGCACGAAAGCGUGGGUAGCAAACAGG